rnacentral:lncRNA from 1 species
AGGAGAAGGACGAGACGUUGGGGGGGUGCGGGGGGAGGAAGACUCCACCAUGACCACAAGAUGAGGACCACCAUGAGAAUUUACAAGGAGCAGAAAGAGCCGGAUCAAUACUAAAAUUGUUCAUGGAACUGGAUGGUAUCCUGGUACUCAGCAUGCCACCAGCGGAGAAAGGGUGGUAUUAGUGACCCUCCAUAUGGCUGCUCUUCAUGAUAACGAUGGAAUGGAAGCAGCCUCUAUGUCCAUUAACUGACUGAUGGGAGUGAGCGUGGGAUAGUUAUACAAUGGAAUAGCAUCCUGCUCUUACGAAGAAUGGAAUUUGCAGCUAAAUGGAUGGAACUGGAACCUGCUAGAGUGAGUCGGGUAACCCGCAUGCCGAAGGAUGAGCAUCCUCUGAUACUUGGAUGCUGUCUUUGACUCUUUAGAUUAGAUAUUUAUAUUAAAAAAGAAAUACCCACAGCAUUCAAGUCAGUUGUAAGGGGCGUCUAUUCUACCAGGGUCCUGUUUGCAAUGGAAACUUGAGUGUUCUUGGGCAAGCCAGUUGUGUUUGUUACUUGUGUGCCGGGGCAAACAAGUAAAGGAGUGUUUUCCUGAAGUGGAUACAGGUGAAAGACUAAGGCAGACUCGUGAAGGAACACUGCUUUGAAGAAGACACAGGAGAAAGGAUGUUCUGCUAAAGCAAGCCCGUGAAAGGACAUGUGAUGAAGGAUUCUUUGUUAAUGACACACAUGUAUUGGUCUGCCUUACACUGUAAUUGAGCUCCAUUUACUUGUUGGGACUCCAUAACUUCUGGUGCAGUGCUGUAGUUUCUUGCCUCGUCUGUGGACUGGGGCUGUUUGGCAGAGUGAUGUCAGCUGAGACAGACUCAUGUGUUGAGGCAAGACAGGUGGAGGUCGUGUGAUGAUUGAUGGCUUGCUGGUACAGCUAGCUGUGCAAUGUUUGUGGGUCUCUUAUCUUCACUGAUCUUUGCUUUCCUGAGAAAGGCACAGCCAAGAACUUCUCCUGACACUCCUCUGCGUCCCUCCUGCUAACUUGAGCUGAGGCUGAGGCCUGGCUGUCUCUGCUAGGGCAUGUCACUGCUGUUGCUAACCUGACCCUACCAAAGUGGACUGCUGGUAUAUUCAUGAAGUAUUUGCAAGUGGAUGGAGCUGCCGCUGCCUGCUAACCUAUGAGCUGAACUGCUGAUUUCCAUACAACGCAGAUUGGAAUUGCUCCAAAGAACCUUUCUAAACAGGUCAUUCAGUAACUCCAAGAGUCGAUCUGCACUGAGUGGGGUCGGGCUAGGCCAACAAGAAGCCAACUAUCCUGUGAGGAGUGCGGUGGAACCUCAGGUGGCUCUUUGGGAGAGAAGAUCUCUUCCCACCUGUUACAGCUCUUGGAACAAAAGACUCAGAGAUGGAGUAGUACUUGCACACAGGGUUCGACAGCAGGUAACAGUACAUAACAGGAGCAAGUCAGGGGAGGAACUCAAGCAGGGCAGGAACCCGGAGACAGGAACUGAACCUGAGGCCAUGGAGGAGUGCUGCUUACUGGAUUAUUCUCCAUGGCUUGCCCAAUCUGCUUUCUCAUACCACCAGGAACCGGACUCAUGGAUGGCACUACCUAUAAUGGGUUGGGACCACAUACAUCAGUCAAUUAAAAUUAUGCCCCAACAGGCUUACCUACUAGCCAAUGUGGUGGGGUCAUUAUCUCAGUUGAGUUUUUUUUUUUUUCUUAAAUAGCUCCAGGCUGUGUUAAGUUGACAUAAAAACUAGCCAGCACACUAUGAGAGUACUAAUUUCUUCAAAAUAAUAUCUUUGUUAUUUGAGAAUUCCACAAUGUAUUCUGAUCAUAUACAUUCCCUUCCCCACAGCUACUCCUAGAUUGAGCUUCAUCUCCCUACCCACCCAACUUCACAUUUUUUUAUAUCUUAAACCUGUCAAGUCAGUUUGUGUUGGCCAGCUACUCUUGGCUGUAGAAUCUAUUAUGGAGUGUAGUCAGUGUAAGUUCACACCGUAAGGAAACUGCCUCUGCCCCUGCAAGCAGCUAAUAAAGGCCAGUAGCUCCUAAACUAAGGGAGGGACUACAUUUGUACCUUGCAUGCCCUGGUGCUGGGAUUUUGUUGGCCUUGAGUUUGUGUGGGUCUUGAGCAAGCCAUGACAAUAGAUCUAACUACAACUGUACUGCUGCUGUGUCAAGAACAUACUGUUUCCUUGAAGUCAUCCAUCACCUCUGGCUCUUACAAUUUUUCCAUGCCUCUUCUUCAAAGGCCCCUGAGCCGUGAGGGGAGAGGUAUAAUGGGAACAUCCUGUUAGGGCUGAGUAGCCUAAAGUCUCUUACUCUCAGCAUACUGACCAUUUGUAUAUUAGCCAUUGUUAAUGGCAGGCUGCAGGUAGAUGGAUGGUGCUUUCUGUGGAAGGUGUUCAGUCCAUGUGGUCCUAAGGUAACAGGGGUAGAUUUACAGUAUGGGCGGGAGUUACUACCUGGCAUGCCCCAGGUCUCCUGGUGCGCUGGUAGCAGGGGUGGAAGAUCGUCUUUUCUCCAUUGAGUAGGCUUGGUACCCUUAUCAAAAUCAUUUUUGCAGUGUAUGCAAGGGUUUAUUUAUGCUGCCUAUUUUAACAGCUGGAAACAUCAAAAUCAUGACUAUUGAAUGCUGUGGAGAAAUUGGUAUUCUUACCAUGUUUAAUAAUGUUUUUAUGACUAUAUAAUAAAAGGAAAGGAGCCUGGGCUAGAGCUGAAGCCUGGGCCUUAGCUGGCCCCUGCCUUGGUUUGGACCUUAGGCUUCGGUUGGCAGAGCCUCUGACCGUUGGCCACGUAGCUUCGAAUCCGCUUCCCAAGCUUAGGGUGAGCGAUGAAAGCCGGCCGCUUGAGUUUGGGGCCUUUUGGCAUCUUGGACUUGAUGGCCUGAGGCUUUACCAGGGCCUUGAUGGCCUCUGCGCAUGCGCGCACUCACUGCCUUUGCGUUGUUGGCCUGCAUCUUCUUCAGGCCUUUCUUGUUGUGCUUCUUGGCAAUGCACAUGUUCCUCAGGAACUUGGGGUCAAACCCCUUAAGAGACUCAUAUCUUUUCGACCAGGGUUUCUUGAUGCCAUUUCUGUGCCAUUUGCGGGACUGGUUGUGUGUGGUGUGGUUCUUGGACUUGGCCAUGUCUACACGGUAACCCACGGCUCCCGCAGCGCCUGAGACCGCGUAUGUAGGAUUCUAUUACAGCUCUUCUGGAUACAUUUGGAAACUUUCAAAGAAAUAAUUUGGAAAUUUAAAAGGUUUUUUUUAAAAAACAUGCUCAAAAUGUUAUCCAACCAUAAAAUUCCAUGAGACACCUCAAACUUGACAUGCUCCUGACAUUGCCCUGCAAGCUCACAACCUUCUUAGUAUUCACCACUGUACUGGCUAGUUUUGUGUCAACUUGACACACCUGGAGUUAUCACAGAGAAAGGAGCUUCGGUUGAGGAAAUGCCUCUAUGAGAACCAACUGUAAGGCAUUUUCUCAAUUAGUGAUCAAGGGGG